rnacentral:rRNA from 1 species
AACGAACGCUGGCGGCAGGCCUAACACAUGCAAGUCGAGCGAGGACUUCGGUCCUAGCGGCGGACGGGUGAGUAACGCGUGGGAACGUGCCCUUUGCUUCGGAAUAGCCCUGGGAAACUGGGAGUAAUACCGGAUGAGCCCUUUGGGGGAAAGAUUUAUCGGCGAAGGAUCGGCCCGCGUUGGAUUAGGUAGUUGGUGGGGUAAUGGCCUACCAAGCCGACGAUCCAUAGCUGGUUUGAGAGGAUGAUCAGCCACACUGGGACUGAGACACGGCCCAGACUCCUACGGGAGGCAGCAGUGGGGAAUCUUAGACAAUGGGGGAAACCCUGAUCCAGCCAUGCCGCGUGAGCGAUGAAGGCCUUAGGGUUGUAAAGCUCUUUCAGCUGGGAAGAUAAUGACGGUACCAGCAGAAGAAGCCCCGGCUAACUCCGUG